AUGAAAUGAGUUUCUUGUACCCAUUUUUAUGGCCAGUAUGGAAUUGUCAGAAAAAGGGUACUUUUCUGUGACAUAAAAAAUGGGUACUUUAACCUCAUUGUGAAGUAUCCUUCCAGCUAAUAUAAAUGGGUAAAUAGUGCACAUGAUAGUUUGCAAAUCAACAUCGCCAUUUUUCAAUUUCUGUUUAUUUUUACCGCUCGGUGUUAGUGAAAAGUUAGUGGUUUUAUCAAUUGUACGAUAUAUUCUUAUGGACGAAAAGAUUGUUCAUACUAUUUUCGACACAUUUGUGGAUGACCGCAUCAGCGUAGUUCAUUGCCGACUGCAGCGAUUUCGUGAGUGCCUGGGUUGUCUGCUAGAUGAUCGCAUACGUGUUGGAAUUCAUUUUUUAACUUUGAAAUAAAUGUGCGUUGUAUUUUA